rnacentral:rRNA from 1 species
GCAGAGAUGUGAAAGUGCUCGAAAGAGAACUUGAACACAGGUGCUGCAUGGCCGUCGUCAGCUCGUGUCGUGAGAUGUUGGGUUAAGUCCCGCAACGAGCGCAACCCUUGUCAUUAGUUGCUACCGCAAGGAGCACUCUAAUGAGACUGCCGGUGACAAACCGGAGGAAGGUGGGGAUGACGUCAGGUCCUCAUGGCCCUUAUGGGUAGGGCUACACACGUCAUACAAUGGCCGGUACAGAGGGCUGCCAACCCGCGAGGGGGAGCCAAUCCCAGAAAACCGGUCGUAGUCCGGAUCGUAGUCUGCAACUCGACUGCGUGAAGUCGGAAUCGCUAGUAAUCGCGGAUCAGCUUGCCGCGGUGAAUACGUUCCCGGGUCUU